GUGUUUUCAGUGUUAAACACUGCUGAAGGUGUUCAUGCAUGACUGUUGGUGGUUGACCAAUGAAUUCAGUUUGUAUGAGUUUGAAGAUGAAGACCUGUCUGAACUUACUGAGAUAACAGAUCAAUACCAUAAUCAGGGACUAAGGAACAAACAAUGGCAGUCACUGAGGAUGGAAAAGCCACAGCAUCACUUGCCAACAUGGAUGAGGCAUUAGGGCAGUCUGCACCAGUCUAAUUGCCCCGAUCGAAGAGGACAAACCAGGGCCAAACGCUGCACUAGCAUCACCAGAAGGUAGAGAUGAGAGGGAAAGCAAGAGAGCAGGGAGA